UACGUAGGGUGCAAGCGUUGUCCGGAAUUAUUGGGCGUAAAGAGCUCGUAGGUGGCGGGUCACGUCGGGUGUGAAAGCCCGGGGCUUAACCCCGGGUCUGCAUUCGAUACGGGCUUGCUAGGGUCCGGCAGGGGAGACUGGAAUUCCUGGUGUAGCGGUGAAAUGCGCAGAUAUCAGGAGGAACACCGGUGGCGAAGGCGGGUCUCUGGGCCGUAACUGACGCUGGAGGAGCGAAAGCGUGGGGAGCGAACAGG
rnacentral:rRNA from 1 species